rnacentral:rRNA from 1 species
UACAGAGGUCCCAAGCGUUGUUCGGAUUCAUUGGGCGUAAAGGGUGCGUAGGCGGGUAAGUAAGUCCGUGGUGAAAUCUCUGAGCUUAACUCAGAAACUGCCGUGGAUACUAUUUGCCUUGAAUAUUGUGGAGGUGAGCGGAAUAUGUCAUGUAGCGGUGAAAUGCUUAGAUAUGACAUAGAACACCAAUUGCGAAGGCAGCUCACUACACAAUCAUUGACGCUGAGGCACGAAAGCGUGGGGAUCAAACAGG